rnacentral:rRNA from 1 species
GAUGAACGCUGGCGGCGUGCCUAAUACAUGCAAGUCGAGCGAACAGACGAGGAGCUUGCUCCUCUGACGUUAGCGGCGGACGGGUGAGUAACACGUGGAUAACCUACCUAUAAGACUGGGAUAACUUCGGGAAACCGGAGCUAAUACCGGAUAACAUGUUGAACCGCAUGGUUCAACAGUGAAAGACGGUCUUGCUGUCACUUAUAGAUGGAUCCGCGCCGCAUUAGCUAGUUGGUAAGGUAACGGCUUACCAAGGCAACGAUGCGUAGCCGACCUGAGAGGGUGAUCGGCCACACUGGAACUGAGACACAGUCCAGACUCCUACGGGAGGCAGCAGUAGGGAAUCUUCCGCAAUGGGCGAAAGCCUGACGGAGCAACGCCGCGUGAGUGAAGAAGGUCUUCGGAUCGUAAAACUCUGUUAUUAGGGAAGAACAAAUGUGUAAGUAACUAUGCACGUCUUGACGGUACCUAAUCAGAAAGCCACGGCUAACUACGUG